rnacentral:rRNA from 1 species
ACGAGCGAGAGAGAGCUUGCUUUCUCAAGCGAGUGGCGAACGGGUGAGUAACGCGUGAGGAACCUGCCUCAAAGAGGGGGACAACAGUUGGAAACGACUGCUAAUACCGCAUAAGCCCACAGGUCGGCAUCGACCAGAGGGAAAAGGAGCAAUCCGCUUUGAGAUGGCCUCGCGUCCGAUUAGCUAGUUGGUGAGGUAACGGCCCACCAAGGCAACGAUCGGUAGCCGGACUGAGAGGCUGAACGGCCACAUUGGGACUGAGACACGGCCCAGACUCCUACGGGAGGCAGCAGUGGGGAAUAUUGCACAAUGGGGGAAACCCUGAUGCAGCGACGCCGCGUGGAGGAAGAAGGUCUUCGGAUUGUAAACUCCUGUUGUUGAGGAAGAUAAUGACGGUACUCAACAAGGAAGUGACGGCUAACUACGUGCCAGCAGCCGCGGUAAAACGUAGGUCACAAGCGUUGUCCGGAAUUACUGGGUGUAAAGGGAGCGCAGGCGGGAAGACAAGUUGGAAGUGAAAUCUAUGGGCUCAACCCAUAAA